ensembl:lncRNA
UCUUGGUAUGGAAUCUGGUGUUUAUCAGUCCAGGAGGACAGUUUGGCCGUAGGUAUGUUAUCCCCAUGGCGACCAGGCACAUAGUCCAAAGCUCACUGAAAGUGCGAAAUGCAGUUUCCUUCUUUUUCAAGAUGGAAUCAGCUCAGCCUGUUCCUUUCCUCCCUCGGGAUGGAAUUCUGACACAUGUUACAAUGUGGAUGGACCACAAGGACCAAGGCAAAAUAAGAAAACACAGAACAAAUACUGUAUGAUUCCAGUUACAUGAAAUACCUAGAGUGGUCAAAUUUAAAGAGAUGGAAAGUAGAAGAGUGGCUGCCAGGACCUGGAGGAAUGAAGGGUUAUUGUUUAAUGAGUCCAGAGUUUCCGAAGAUUUUUUUUAAAAGUUCUUCCGAAGAUUUUUUUAAAUUCUGAAGAUGAAUAAUGGUGAUAGCUGUACAGCAAUGUGAAUAUAUGUAUGCCAAUGAGCUCUACAGAAAAACCCGAGACUGAGCAAGAAGGAACUCCUCAAGAUGGCAGAGGGAGGGCUAGAGACCAGGUCCCUCCGCCGCCGCCCCCGCGGGUGCUUCUGAAGCGCCACUCCACGCAUGCUGUGUGCUGGAGUCAUCUUUCUACAGCGAAUCGGCAAAGAAGGUUAAGGUGGUGCAGUCCAUUCUGAAGGAGAUCAGCCCUGGGAUUUCUUCGGAAGGAAUGAUGCUAAAGCUGAAACUCCAAUACUUUGGCCACCUCAUGCGAAGAGUUGACUCAUUGGAAAAGAC